rnacentral:tRNA from 1 species
GUCUUCAUGGUGUAAGUCUACAUGCUCGGCUCGUAACCGAGAGGUCCGUGGUUCGAUUCCUGGCGAAGGCG